GACGAACGCUGGCGGCGUGCUUAACACAUGCAAGUCGAACGGAAAGGCCCUGCUUUUGUGGGGUGCUCGAGUGGCGAACGGGUGAGUAACACGUGAGUAACCUGCCCUUGACUUUGGGAUAACUUCAGGAAACUGGGGCUAAUACCGGAUAGGAGCUCCUGCUGCAUGGUGGGGGUUGGAAAGUUUCGGCGGUUGGGGCUGGACUCGCGGCUUAUCAGCUUGUUGGUGGGGUAGUGGCUUACCAAGGCUUUGACGGGUAGCCGGCCUGAGAGGGUGACCGGCCACAUUGGGACUGAGAUACGGCCCAGACUCCUACGGGAGGCAGCAGUGGGGAAUAUUGCACAAUGGGCGGAAGCCUGAUGCAGCAACGCCGCGUGCGGGAUGACGGCCUUCGGGUUGUAAACCGCUGUCGCCUGUGACGAAGCGUGAGUGACGGUAAUGGGUAAAGAAGCACCGGCUAACUACGUG
rnacentral:rRNA from 1 species